AUUGAACGCUGGCGGCAGGCCUAACACAUGCAAGUCGAGCGAGCGGCGGACGGGUGAGUAAUGUAUGGGGACUGCCCGCUAGAGGGGGAUAACCACUGGAAACGGUAGCUAAUACCGCAUAUUAUCGGAUAACCCAUAUGGGAUUAGCUAGUGGGGGAGGUAAUGGCUCACCUAGGCGACGAUCCCUAGCUGGUCUGAGAGGAUGAGCAGCCAAACUGGGACGGAGACACGGCCCAGACUCCUACGGAGGAGGAAGUGGGGAGUAUUGCACAAUGGGGGAAAGCCGGAUGCAGCCAGGCCGCGUGUAUGAAGAAGGCCCUAGGGUGGUAAAGUACUUUGAGUCGGGAGGCGUUACCGAAAGAAGAAGGACCGGCUAACUCCGUGCCAGCAGCCGCGGUAAUAC
rnacentral:rRNA from 1 species